rnacentral:misc_RNA from 1 species
GAGGAAGAGGAAGAGGAAGAAGAGUUUAGGAAUGUUGUUAGAUCCAAAAAUAACAAGGGUUUUCAACCAAAUGGGAAAAUUGGGGCUAGAACCUCACAGAAAAGAAAGAGAGUAUCUUAUGAGGAGGAAGAUGAGGAUUAUGUUCAUGAUGACGAUGGUGAUGAUGAUGAUGUGUGUGAAACUUUGGAUGGUCGCUUAUCUCAAUUGCAAAUUGUUUCUUGAAAUUUGUGUUUGAACAAGGGAAAUGUCCAUUUUACAAAAAGGAAGAUGUUGUUGAAUUUUUGACAAGAAUUGGAAAUGGUUAAAACUUUUGUAUUAGAAUUGAUAAUUAGAAAGUAUAAAGUAGAAAUGUCAAUUAUAAGUGAUUUAAGAGCUACGUGGAUCUGAUUCUCUAUAGGAGGUACGUAGGCAGCUUUCAGGUGCAGACCAAAUUAAAUAACUUUACUUUCUUCCUUUCUGAAAUUUUCUGUUCUAUUGUUCUUUCCAUUUUCUCAUUGAGUCAAAAUUUGGGACUCUAUUCGCUUUUGCACUUUAGCUUCUAGUUAUUUUUGUUAUUAAGAGAGAGUCUUUAUUGUCUUUUAUAUGCUUAGUGUUUGAUUUAAUUUAUUUUAUUUAAAUUAAUUUUUCAAAUAAAAUUUAUAUUAUUCAAUAAAAUGUGUACACAUGUGUGUGUCUCAAUUUCUCUUAUUCUCCUUAAGCAGCUAUGUAUAUCUAUGCAACUUUGAGUCCUGAAAUAGGUUGGUUAUUUUGAUGUUGUAUGUUAGUUGAGAAAUUGUAUGCUUUAGGGGCACGUCCUUAUGUUCAAUUAAUUUAUUUAUAGGAGAAUAUUGUAAUUUUAGUUUUAGGUUACAUCUAUCGUGUUUAGUGGAUUUUUUUUGGGUGUGACAUGACCUCCACACUAACCAAUGAACAACCCUACCUGUUCCCCAUUGGUGCACUUUCAAUUUGCAAUCGCCUCUUCUUUUUUGUUCCAAAUCUCAUGUUGUAAGUGUUUCUCCAUCUCUGCUGGUUG